UGCCUUGAGAAAAUUUGAGGCUAAGCGGGAAGAGUGGACGUCUUCCCGCAAGAAGAACCACAACAUGGCUGUUGUCAAGCAGGAAAUGUUCCUCCUGCUCGAAAAGCUUCAAGCAGCAGGAUAUAAACCUGUCCUGCUGCUUGGAAAAGCCACUAAAAAGAGCCAUGUGGUCAAGGUGUUCACACCUCGUUGCACAUUGGCCACAUUUGCGGAGGAGUCCCUCAAAAAAAUGGGCUCCAUCCAUGAGUACAUUUGUCAAGGAUGGACCCCUUUUGCAAGUGGGACUGCAGAGGGGCCAGAAGAGGGCAGGGGGACCACUCAGGUGAAGACAUACAGGAAUAUCUAUGACAAUUAAAGAGGCUAAUCCUAUAUAUUGUUAUAUACUGCAUAUAUACUCCAAUAUAUUAUGCUACAAAUUACAAUAUACUAAGUCAGCUGUAUAAGUGCUAACCUCUUUUCAUGUUUGUUUAUG